GAUGAACGCUAGCGGCAGGCCUAAUACAUGCAAGUCGGACGGGAUUCAGGUGCUUGCUUCUGAUGAGAGUGGCGCACGGGUGCGUAACACGUAUGUAACCUACCUUUUUCAGGGUGAUAGCCUCUCGAAAGAGAGAUUAAGCUCGCAUAAAAUCACAGCACAGCAUUGUGUAAUGAUCAAAUAUUUAUAGGAUAAAGAUGGGCAUGCGGAACAUUAGCUAGAUGGCGGGGUAACGGCCCACCAUGGCGACGAUGUUUAGGGGAUCUGAGAGGAUGGCCCCCCAGACUGGUACAGAGACACGGACCAGACAGCUACGGGAGGGAGCAGUAAGGAAUAUAGGACAAUGAGCGGAAGCCUGAAGCAGCCAAGCCGCGUGCAGGAAGACGGCGGUACGGGUUGUAAACUGCUGUUAUACGAGAAUAAACCCAGAUACGUGUAUCUGGCUGAAGGUACUGUAAGAAUAAGGAACGGCUAACUCCGUG
rnacentral:rRNA from 1 species